AGAAAAGCUCCUUUGAAUACUCUUGCCACUGGAUAUAAGAUUCUUGGUGAGGAUAUAUGGAGGUAUGUUGGGAAGCUAACAGAUGCUCAGAAAAGCAUGCUGGAUGAUAGGUUUAAAUGGAAGGUUCGAGAGAUGGAAAAAAGGAAGGAAGGGAAUCCUGGCGAAGCCAGAGCUGCUUUGAGACGUUCUGUGAGGGAAAUUGG